GUUAAGCGACUAAGCGUACACGGUGGAUGCCCUGGCAGUCAGAGGCGAUGAAGGACGUGCUAAUCUGCGAUAAGCGUCGGUGAGGUGAUAUGAACCGUUAUAACCGGCGAUUUCCGAAUGGGGAAACCCAGUGUGUUUCGACACACUAUCAUUAACUGAAUCCAUAGGUUAAUGAGGCGAACCGGGGGAACUGAAACAUCUAAGUACCCCGAGGAAAAGAAAUCAACCGAGAUUCCCCCAGUAGCGGCGAGCGAACGGGGAGGAGCCCAGAGUCUGAAUCAGUGUGUGUGUUAGUGGAAGCGUCUGGAAAGGCGCGCGAUACAGGGUGACAGCCCCGUACACAAAAAUGCACAUAUUGUGAGCUCGAUGAGUAGGGCGGGACACGUGGUAUCCUGUCUGAAUAUGGGGGGACCAUCCUCCAAGGCUAAAUACUCCUGACUGACCGAUAGUGAACCAGUACCGUGAGGG
rnacentral:rRNA from 1 species